GAACUUAAGCAUAUCAAUAAGGCGAGGAACAGAAACCAACUGGGAUUCCCCUAGUAGUGGCGAAUGAAGCGGGAAAAGCUCAAGUUUGAAAUCCGGCGGGUGACUUCCGGAGUUGUAAGCUGAUGAGGUAUCGACCGACGUGGUCCGGGCCCAAUUUCCUUGGAACAGGAGGUCAUGGAGGGUGAGAACCCCGUCCGUGGCUCGGGUGCCAUCGUCCUUGUGUCGUGUCCUCUAAGAGUCGGGUUGUUUGGGAAUGCAGCUCAAAAUGGGUGGUAAAUUUCAUCUAAAGCUAAAUACUGGCGAGAGACCGAUAGCAAACAAGUAGAGUGAUCGAAAGAUGAAAAGUACUUUGAAAAGAGAGUGAAACAGUACGUGAAAUUGUUGAAAGGGAAGCGUUUGGCAUCAGCCCUUGGCGUCCGUCGAACAUCCAGGCUUCUGCCUGGUGCACUCGUCGGCCGUCGGGCCAGCGUCGGCUCUGCCUGUCGGAGAAAGGUCCGAGGGAUGUGGCUCACUUUCGAGCGUUAUAACCUCGGGCGUCAUGCGAUAUGGUGGGGCCGAGGUCUGCGGACUCUGUCCUAGGACGCUGGCGUAAUGGUUCCAAGCGACCCGUCUUGAAACACGGACCAAGGAGUCUAACAUCUAUGCGAGUGUUUGGGUGUCAAGCCCGUCCGCGCAAUGAAAGUGAAUGCAGGCGGGAGCCGUAAAAGGUGCACCGCCGACCGGUCCGGGGGUUUACCGAAGGAUCCGAGUAAGAGCAUAGCUGUUGGGACCCGAAG
rnacentral:rRNA from 1 species